rnacentral:rRNA from 1 species
UACAGAGGGUGCGAGCGUUGUUCGGAUUUAUUGGGCGUAAAGAGCUCGUAGGCGGUUCGGUAAGUCGGGUGUGAAAUCUCGGAGCUUAACUCCGAAACUGCAUUCGAUACUGCCGUGCUUGAGGACUGGAGAGGAGACUGGAAUUUACGGUGUAGCGGUGAAAUGCGUAGAUAUCGUAAGGAAGACCAGUGGCGAAGGCGGGUCUCUGGACAGUUCCUGACGCUGAGGCACGAAGGUCAGGGGAGCAAACGGG